rnacentral:rRNA from 1 species
UGGGGUGUCGAGCCGUCGACCCUCUCGGAGAAGGUCGGUCCUGAACUCCACCCUUGAAUAAAUUACCUUUGUUGCUUUGGCGGGCCGCCUCGCGCCAGCGGCUUCGGCUGUUGAGUGCCCGCCAGAGGACCACAACUCUUGUUUUUAGUGAUGUCUGAGUACUAUAUAAUAGUUAAAACUUUCAACAACGGAUCUCUUGGUUCUGGCAUCGAUGAAGAACGCAGCGAAAUGCGAUAAGUAAUGUGAAUUGCAGAAUUCAGUGAAUCAUCGAAUCUUUGAACGCACAUUGCGCCCUCUGGUAUUCCGGGGGGCAUGCCUGUUCGAGCGUCAUUAUAACCACUCAAGCUCUCGCUUGGUAUUGGGGUUCGCGGUUCCGCGGCCCCUAAAAUCAGUGGCGGUGCCUGUCGGCUCUACGCGUAGUAAUACUCCUCGCGUCUGGGUCCGGUAGGUCUACUUGCCAGCAACCCCCAA